rnacentral:rRNA from 1 species
GUCGAACGCUGGCGGCGUGCCUAAUACAUGCAAGUCGAACGCAGUGGGGACGGGUGAGUAACACGUGGGUAACCUCCCAUCAGAGGGGAUAACACUUGGAAACAGGUGCUAAACCGAUACUGAUGGAUGGACCCGCGGUUCAUUAGCUAGUUGGUGAGGUAACGGCUCACCAAGGCCACGAUGCAUAGCCGACCUGAGAGGGUGACCGGCCACACGGGGACUGGGACACGGUCCAGACUCCUACGGGAUGCAGCAGUAGGGAAUCUUCCGCAAUGGACGAAAGUCUGACCGAGCAACGCCGCGUGAGUGAAGAAGGUUUUCGGAUCGUAAAACUCUGUUGUUAGAGAAGCGGUAUCCAACCAUAAAGCCCCGGCUAACUACAUGACAGCCGCCGCGGUAAUUC